rnacentral:rRNA from 1 species
CAAUAGCGUAUAUUAAUGUUGUUGCAGUUAAAAAGCUCGUAGUUGGAUUUCUGGUAGGAUGCGCCUGGCCCGCCUCGUUUAGAGUGUGAGUGCCGGUGCGCGUCUGCCAUCCUUCUAGGAAACGUUUCUACCCUUCACUGGGCCGGAAGCGCGAACUAGAUCUUUUACUUUGAAAAAUUAGAGUGUUUAAAGCAGGCUACUGUCUUUGAAUAGAUUAGCAUGGAAUAAUGAUAUAGGGCUUCGGCGCUAUUUUGUUGGUUUCUAGUACUGAAGUAAUGAUUGAUAGGGAUAGUUGGGGGUGGCUCGUAUUCAGCGGCCAGAGGUGAAAUUACUUGGAUUCGCUGAAGACGAACUUAUGCGAAAGCAUUCACCAAGGAUGUCUUCUUUAAUUCAAGAACGAAAGUUGGGGGAGUCGAAGACGAUCAGAUACCAU